UACGGAGGAUGCAAGCGUUAUCCGGAAUUAUUGGGCGUAAAGCGUCCGCAGGUGGUUAUUCAAGUCUGCUGUUAAAGCGCGAGGCUUAACUUCGUACGGGCAGUGGAAACUGAGUGACUAGAGUACGGUAGGGGUAGCGGGAAUUCCCAGUGUAGCGGUGAAAUGCGUAGAUAUUGGGAAGAACACCAGCGGCGAAAGCGCGCUACUGGGCCGAAACUGACACUGAGGGACGAAAGCUAGGGGAGCGAAAGGG
rnacentral:rRNA from 1 species